rnacentral:rRNA from 1 species
AGGAUCAUUAUUGAAUAAACCUGAUGUGGUUGUAGCUGGCUUUUCGAAGCAUGUGCUCGCCCGUCAUCUUUAUCUCUCCACCUGUGCACCUUUUGUAGUCUUGGAUACCUCUCGAGGAAACUCGGAUUUGGGAUCGCCGUGCCGUACAAGUCGGCUUUCCUUGCAUUUCCAAGACUAUGUUUUCAUAUACACCAAAGAAUGUUCAAAGAAUGUCAUCAAUGGGAACUUGUUUCCUAUAAAAACUAUACAACUUUCAGCAACGGAUCUCUUGGCUCUCGCAUCGAUGAAGAACGCAGCGAAAUGCGAUAAGUAAUGUGAAUUGCAGAAUUCAGUGAAUCAUCGAAUCUUUGAACGCACCUUGCGCUCCUUGGUAUUCCGAGGAGCAUGCCUGUUUGGGUGUCAUUAAUAUAUCAACCUCUUCAGCUUUUGCUUGUCGAGUGUUGGAUGUGGGGGUAUUUUCAUUUGCUGGCCUCUCUUGAGGGGUCGGCUCCCCUAAAAUAUAUUAGCGGAACAAUUUGUUGACCGUUCAUUGGUGUGAUAACUAUCUACGCUAUUGACGUGAAGCAGGUUCAGCUUCUAACAGUCCAUUAAUUUGGACAAAAUCUUCAUUAAUGUGACCUCAAAUCAGGUAGGACUACCCGCUGAACUUAA